AUGUGAAAAUGGUCAAAUAUAAAAAUGGAUUGCAAGUAAAAAUGCAGGCAAGGCUACUCUAGCCUAUGUAAUUUUCUUUGUAUAAGUGCAUGCUACAUGCUAGGGUAACGUCAAUGGUAGGCCUACCAAUUAUCGUCCCCCAAAUAAUGACAUUUCCUUCGUGCAAUGAGAGGUAGCCAGUGGUUUGAAGACCAUUAAUCGAUGAUUGAUACCUGAUAAAGCCUUUUUUUUAUUUCAACUGUGUGUUUAUUUGAUUGACGUUUUUGUGGAAGAGUUGUUCAGAUUAGAUUCGGUGACCCAAUGUCCACAAUUUCAACAACAAGGACCGUGAAUCUAUCAAGAGCAAAAUGAAGCAGCUGGAGUCAAGUGAUUUGGAGCAGGCGCCCAAAAUCGCGCGCUUUUUAAUUUUUUUGAGGAGGACAUUACCGUCAUGGGCCAGGACAAGCAGGCGAACCAGUGGAGUCGGAAAUAUGGCCUGCACCGUGGAGUGGAUUGGUACAGAAGGAAAUGCUAAUCAGAUGUGACCCUGGAGUGUUGGAACAGACGUCAGAGUGCUGUGGGGACUGGGAGCCGCAGGACGAACACUUCAAGUGGCUCCUGUAGA